rnacentral:rRNA from 1 species
AGUGAACGCUGGCGGUAGGCCUAACACAUGCAAGUCGAACGGCAGCACAGGAGAGCUUGCUCUCUGGGUGGCGAGUGGCGGGCGGGUGAGGAAUACAUCGGAAUCUACUUUUUCGUGGGGGAUAACGUAGGGAAACUUACGCUAAUACCGCAUACGACCUACGGGUGAAAGCAGGGGACCUUCGGGCCUUGCGCGAUUGAAUGAGCCGAUGCCGGAUUAGCUAGUUGGCGGGGUAAAGGCCCACCAAGGCGACGAACCGUAGCUGGUCUGAGGUGAUGACCAGCCCGACUGGAACUGAGACCACGUCCAGACUCAGACGGGAAGCAGCAGUGGGGAAUAUUGGACAAUGGGCGAAAGCCUGAUCCAGCCAUACCGCGGGGGUGAAGAAGGCCUUCGGGUUGUAAAGCCCUUUUGUUGGGAAGGAAAUCCAGCUGGCUAAUACCCGGUUGGGAUGACGGUACCCAAAGAAUAAGCACCGGCUAACUUCGUGCCAGCCGCCGCCGUAA